rnacentral:rRNA from 1 species
UAGGGAAUCUUCCGCAAUGGGCGAAAGCCUGACGGAGCAACGCCGCGUGAGUGAUGAAGGUCUUCGGAUCGUAAAACUCUGUUAUUAGGGAAGAACAAAUGUGUAAGUAACUAUGCACGUCUUGACGGUACCUAAUCAGAAAGCCACGGCUAACUACGUGCCAGCAGCCGCGGUAAUACGUAGGUGGCAAGCGUUAUCCGGAAUUAUUGGGCGUAAAGCGCGCGUAGGCUGUUUUUUAAGUCUGAUGUGAAAGCCCACGGCUCAACCGUGGAGGGUCAUUGGAAACUGGAAAACUUGAGUGCAGAAGAGGAAAGUGGAAUUCCAUGUGUAGCGGUGAAAUGCGCAGAGAUAUGGAGGAACACCAGUGGCGAAGGCGACUUUCUGGUCUGUAACUGACGCUGAUGUGCGAAAGCGUGGGGAUCAAACAGG